UACGGGGGGGGCAAGCGUUGUUCGGAAUUACUGGGCGUAAAGGGCUCGUAGGCGGCCAACUAAGUCCGACGUGAAAUCCCAAGGCUUAACCUUGGAACUGCGUCGGAUACUGGAUGGCUUGAAUUCGGGAGAGGGAUGCAGAAUUCCAGGUGUAGCGGUGAAUUGCGUAGAUAUCUGGAGGAAUACCGGUGGCGAAGGCGGCAUCCUGGACCGACAUUGACGCUGAUGAGCGAAAGCUAGGGGAGCAAACGGG
rnacentral:rRNA from 1 species